rnacentral:rRNA from 1 species
AGCGGCGGACGGGUGAGUAAUGCUUAGGAAUCUGCCAUUUAGUGGGGGACAACAUUCCGAAAGGGAUGCUAAUACCGCAUACGUCCUACGGGAGAAAGCAGGGGAUCUUCGGACCUUGCGCUAAAUGAUGAGCCUAAGUCGGAUUAGCUAGUUGGUGGGGUAAAGGCCUACCAAGGCGACGAUCUGUAGCGGGUCUGAGAGGAUGAUCCGCCACACUGGGACUGAGACACGGCCCAGACUCCUACGGGAGGCAGCAGUGGGGAAUAUUGGACAAUGGGCGGAAGCCUGAUCCAGCCAUGCCGCGUGUGUGAAGAAGGCCUUUUGGUUGUAAAGCACUUUAAGCGAGGAGGAGGCUACCUGGAUUAAUACUCUGGGAUAGUGGACGUUACUCGCAGAAUAAGCACCGGCUAACUCUGUGCCAGCAGCCGCGGUAAUACAGAGGGUGCGAGCGUUAAUCGGAUUUACUGGGCGUAAAGCGUGCGUAGGCGGCUUUUUAAGUCGGAUGUGAAAUCCCCGAGCUUAACUUGGGAAUUGCAUUCGAUACUGGGAAGCUAGAGUAUGGGAGAGGAUGGUAGAAUUCCAGGUGUAGCGGUGAAAUGCGUAGAGAUCUGGAGGAAUACCGAUGGCGAAGGCAGCCAUCUGGCCUAAUACUGACGCUGAGGUACGAAAGCAUGGGGAGCAAACAGGAUUAGAUACCCUGGUAGUCCAUGCCGUANACGAUGUCUACUAGC